rnacentral:rRNA from 1 species
UACAGAGGUCCCAAGCGUUACUGAGAAUCACUGGGUUUAAAGGGUGCGUAGGUGGUCCGUUAAGUCAGUUGUGAAAUCCCCGGGCUCAACCCGGGAACUGCUUCUGAUACUGGCGGACUUGAGGCCAGUAGGGGUCACUAGAACUGACGGUGGAGCGGUGAAAUGCGUAGAUAUCGUCAGGAAUGCCGGUGGUGAAGACGGGUGACUGGGCUGGUUCUGACGCUGAGGCACGAAAGCGUGGGGAGCGAACGGG